rnacentral:rRNA from 1 species
GAUGAACGCUGGCGGCGUGCCUAAUACAUGCAAGUCGAGCGAACGGACGAGAAGCUUGCUUUUCUGAUGUUAGCGGCGGAGGGGUGAGUAACACGUGGAUCACCUACCUAUAAGACUGGGAUAACUUCGGGACACCGGAGCUAAUACCGGAUAAUAUUUUGAACCGCAUGGUUGAAAAGUGAAAGACGGUCUUGCUGGCACUUAUCGAUGGAUCUGAGCUGCAUUAGCUAGUUGGUAAGGUAACGGCUUACCAAGGCAACGAUGCGUAGCCGACCUGAGAGAGUGAUCGGCCACACUGGAACUGAAACGCGGUCCAGACGACUACGGGAGGCAGCAGUAUGGAAUCUUCCGCAAUAGUCGAAAGCCUGACGGAGCAACGCCGCGUGAGUGAUGAAGGUCUUCGGAGCGUAAAACUCUGUUAUUAGUGAAGAACAUAUGUGUAAGUAACUGUGCACAUCGUGACGGUACCUAAUCAGAAAGCCACGGCUAACUACGUG